rnacentral:rRNA from 1 species
GUGGGGAAUUUUGGACAAUGGGCGCAAGCCUGAUCCAGCAAUGCCGCGUGCAGGAAGAAGGCCUUCGGGUUGUAAACUGCUUUUGUACGGAACGAAACGGUCCUGGUUAAUACCUGGGGCUAAUGACGGUACCGUAAGAAUAAGCACCGGCUAACUACGUGCCAGCAGCCGCGGUAAUACGUAGGGUGCGAGCGUUAAUCGGAAUUACUGGGCGUAAAGCGUGAGCAGGCGGUGCUGUAAGACAGGCGUGAAAUCCCCGGGCUCAACCUGGGAAUUGCGCUUGGGACUGCAGUGCUGGAGUACGGCAGAGGGGGAUGGAAUUCCGCGUGUAGCAGUGAAAUGCGUAGAUAUGCGGAGGAACACCGAUGGCGAAGGCAGUCCCCUGGGCCUGUACUGACGCUCAUGCACGAAAGCGUGGGGAGCAAACAGGAUUAGAAACCCGGGUAGUCC